AUACCUGGGUUUGCCUCCUCCGC
rnacentral:piRNA from 1 species